AGAUAUCCCACAUAUUGUUUAUACUCAUCAUUAUACUGAUAUUAUGACAGUUCAUGGACUCACAUCUGAACCUGGGCAUUUAGCGCAUUAAUAGAGCUCCUUAUCAGGCAAGUCCUCAGAAGAAAGAAGUGGCAGUACAAGCCAUGGGCAUUAUCCUUUCCCCAAGACUAGAACAUGCUGACAGUUACUGUAUCUUCCUAAGUUGCAAUCAGAAUGAUCAAGGGGCACCCUGCAGAUCCUCAGAUGGCAAGAACUUGGAUAGUAAUUUAAAUCCACAACAGAUGGAAACUGCUGCCACAGAAGGUCACUCAAAAUAUUAGCUGCUUUAUCUCCAUAAAGCUACAGAGAGAGGAAAGAAGUUACAGGCCUUCCACAAGAUAGUGCAUUUGGUUUAUUCCAGACCACUCCUCUCAGUAUGCUCGAAAGGCAAAGCACAUACAAGAGCAGAUUUUCAAUUAAAUCUCUCACAAAAGACCAUCGGGACCAAUGUUGGAGAGUGACAGCAAGGCUGAAAGUUAAAGAAAAACAUUGAAUUGGGAGUUUUUAUAAAGGUAUAAUAUCUCAAAGCCCUACAGAUACAAAUGCAUACCAUCUAGUUCUCAGCAAUUCUGAACCUUAAAUGGUUCUGUAUGAAAUUUAAAUGAUAAAGUUCAUA